rnacentral:rRNA from 9 species
CAACUUUCAGCAGUGGAUGUCUAGGCUCGCACAUCGAUGAAGAACGCUGCGAACUGCGAUACGUAAUGCGAAUUGCAGGAUUCAGUGAGUCAUCGAAAUUUUGAACGCAUAUUGCACUUUCGGGUUUUGCCUGGAAGUAUGUCUGUAUCAGUGUCCGUA